rnacentral:misc_RNA from 1 species
UUAGCUUCAUCUAGCUCUUCACAGGCCCUGUCCAUUUUCCUUUGGAGUUUGUUUCAAAACAAUACCUGGUAACGGAUCUACAGAUACGCCAUGUAAAAGGAGUUGUGAAUUCUUGGUUCCUUUGUUGGAGAAGUGAAAUGGAGACAGAGAGAUGAAGAGGAGGGGUAAACAAAAGAACUGAGAAAAGUAGUUUCUCACAGAGAGGGAGAGAGCCGUUGGGAGAGAAAG